CCACGCCAGAAAGGCAGAAACCCUCCCCUGGAAAAUCCACUGCCGCCCCUCACCUACUCCUCCAUCCGCCGGGACCGCCGCCCCACUCCACCUCCAUCUGCCAGUCGUCGGCAGCCGCCGCCCCUCCCCUUCCACCCACCGCCAGGCGCCAGCGUCUCCCCCUACACCCGUCGGCCACAGCCGGACGCUGCCCCUCCCCUUCCCUUCCACCCAUCACCGGCCACCAACCACCGGCGCCAACCCCUCCAUCCGUCGGCUGCCGGCCCUCGCCCAAUCAGCUGCUAACCCCUCCUCGACUGCCGCCCUGUCCCACUCCCAUCCGGCUGCUGCUCCAGCGCCCCCCUCCCAGCCGGGUGCUAUUCCACGUCCUCCUCCCGGCAGAAUUGCUAUAAAUGGAGGAAGAAGGAUUCUACACUAAUAUGAUGAAUGAGGGCAACUAUUCCUUUGAUUGGGAUGGUUUUAGUAACCAGCCUGAGGAGCAGCAUUCACCCGUUGUGGAUGGUUCUAGUAGCCAGCCUGAGGAGCAGCAUUUACCCGUUGUGGAUGGUUCUAGUAGCCAGCCUAAGGAGCAACAUUCACCUAUUUUAGAUAGUAUUCCCUCAUCUAGACCAAACCAAAAAAGAGCAAAGAAUUCUAGUGAAGAGGAAGACGCACUACUUGUGUCGGCAUGGCUGAAUACAAGUAUGGAUCUAGUGGUAGGUAUGAAUCAAAACCGCGGUGCAUAUUGGAAGAGAAUUUAUGAUUACUACAACAAAAACAAGAAAGUCUCAUUAUAUCGCAGUCAAAAUUCAAUCAUGCAUCGCUGGAAAACUAUUCAUCAGAAUUGCAAUAAGUUCUGUGGAUGUCUCAGCCAAAUAGAGGGCAGAAGGCAAAGCGGAGUCACUAUACAGGAUAAGCUCUCGCAGGCGAUUGCUUUGUUUAAAAGCGAAGAGAAGAGGGCUUUCCAAUUCAUACAUUGUUGACGUCUGUUGCGGACACAGCCCAAGUGGCAUGAUAAGCUAAAGGAAAAAGAAUCCCAAAAGAAAUGUUCCAACAAAAAACAAAAAACAAACACUCAGACAAGUCCAUGUAUUGGAACUGCUAGAAAUGAUGAAACUACAAAUGCUGAUGGCAUAGAUAGUGAAACCACUGCGAAUGAAGCACCCAAGAGACCGAUGGGCAAGAAAAAGGCAAAAGAUCAAAUGAAGCGUAGCAAAGGUGAAGCAUGCACAAAGGCAAUAGAGAUUUUGUAGGGACAAAAGAAGGAGUCAGACGCGGAAAAGGAGAAAAACAAAGAGGAGAGGUAUAAACAAUCGUACACAUUAGAUGUUGCGAGGUUUGAGUUAGAGGAAAAAAGGGUUGCAAGUGAACUUGUUAGGGCUCAAAAGGAACAGGCAAGGGUUGCAAAGGAGUCAGAUGAAUUACAGUUCAAGAAGAUGUUAGAAGAAGAGAGAAUUAUGACAUUAGACAUUGCUUCCAUGCCUCUAAUUCAACAGCAGUACUACAAAAGUUUACAAAAUGAGAUCAUCGCUCGUCGCGUGAACAACCUGGGUUGACAUGUGAAGAAAAGUUGGGAUUGCUGAAGUCUGCAGUGUGGCUGGGCAAUUUUAUUCUACUGUUCUAAAUGGAUCUGCUUUUUUUUUUUAUCAAUUCUGGAAGGCACUUUCUGCUCUAGUUUGUAUAUAAGUCAGUUGAAUUGUUCUAACAGAAAAUGUCAUUUCUCUUUGCACUGGGAAUCUCAUUUUACUAUUCCAUUUGUCAUGAGAUGCCUUACUCAGAAAUCAGAAUAGUUUGCUUAUAUCGUGAGCUUUAUUGUUGCUGGGACUUCUGUGGCUAAACUUUGUUUCAACGGUGCAGAAUAUAAGUGAAUUCAUCGAUUAAUUGAUGAUGAGGAAAAUUUUAAA